CCAGAAAGCCACGGCUAACUACGUGCCAGCAGCCGCGGUAAUACGUAGGUGGCAAGCGUUGUCCGGAAUUAUUGGGCGUAAAGGGCUCGCAGGCGGUUUCUUAAGUCUGAUGUGAAAGCCCCCGGCGCAACCGGGGAGGGUCAUUGGAAACUGGGGAACUUGAGUGCAGAAGAGGAGAGUGGAAUUCCACGUGUAGCGGUGAAAUGCGUAGAGAUGUGGAGGAACACCAGUGGCGAAGGCGACUCUCUGGUCUGUAACUGACGCUGAGGAGCGAAAGCGUGGGGAGCGAACAGGAUUAGAUACCCUGGUAGUCCACGCCGUA
rnacentral:rRNA from 1 species